AGGGGGGUAGCCAAGUGGUAAGGCAACGGAUUUUGAUUCCGUGUAUCGUAGGUUCGAAUCCUAUCCCCCCUGCCA
rnacentral:tRNA from 2 species